GGUGGGUUGGCACAGUGGUUAGAGCAUAGGUCUCGUAAAUGAUAGGUUGCGGGAUCGAAUCCCGCCAGAUGCUG
rnacentral:tRNA from 1 species